rnacentral:rRNA from 1 species
UACGUAGGUGACCAGCGUUGUCCGGAUUUACUGGGCGUAAAGAGCGCGCAGGCGGUCGUUCAAGUCGAGUGUGAAAGCCCCCGGCUCAACUGGGGAGGGUCAUUCGAUACUGAUCGACUUGAAGGCAGGAGAGGGAAGCGGAAUUCCCGGUGUAGUGGUGAAAUGCGCAGAUAUCAGGAAGAAUAUCCGUGGCGAAGGCGGCUCUCUGGUGCGGCACUGACGCUGAGACGCGAAAGCGUGGGGAGCGAACAGG